UUACGCAGAGCAUAUUACAUCCAUCCCGC
rnacentral:sRNA from 1 species